GACGAACGCUGGCGGCGUGCCUAAUACAUGCAAGUCGAACGAACCGCGACUAGGUGCUUGCACUUGGUCAAGGUGAGUGGCGAACGGGUGAGUAACACGUGGGUAACCUACCUCAUAGUGGGGGAUAACAGUCGGAAACGACUGCUAAUACCGCAUAGGACAUAGGAUCACAUGAUUCUGUGAGGAAAGGUGGCGCAAGCUAUCGCUAAGAGAUGGACCCGCGGUGCAUUAGCUAGUUGGUAGGGUAAAGGCCUACCAAGGCGAUGAUGCAUAGCCGACCUGAGAGGGUGAUCGGCCACAUUGGGACUGAGACACGGCCCAAACUCCUACGGGAGGCAGCAGUAGGGAAUCUUCCGCAAUGGACGCAAGUCUGACGGAGCAACGCCGCGUGAGUGAAGAAGGUCUUCGGAUCGUAAAGCUCUGUUGUUAGAGAAGAACAGCGCAUAGAGUAACUGUUAUGCGUGUGACGGUAGCUAACCAGAAAGCCACGGCUAACUACGUG
rnacentral:rRNA from 1 species